rnacentral:rRNA from 1 species
UGAGGAAUAUUGGUCAAUGGGCGAGAGCCUGAACCAGCCAAGUAGCGUGCAGGAUGACGGCCCUCCGGGUUGUAAACUGCUUUUAGUUGGGAAUAAAACAGCGGACUUGUCCGCUCUUGUAUGUACCUUCAGAAAAAGGACCGGCUAAUUCCGUGCCAGCAGCCGCGGUAAUACGGAAGGUCCGGGCGUUAUCCGGAUUUAUUGGGUUUAAAGGGAGCGUAGGCGGAUUGUUAAGUCAGCGGUUAAAGGGUGUGGCUCAACCAUGCAUUGCCGUUGAAACUGGCGAUCUUGAGUGCAGACAGGGAUGCCGGAAUUCGUGGUGUAGCGGUGAAAUGCUUAGAUAUCACGAAGAACUCCGAUCGCGAAGGCAGGUGUCCGGGCUGCAACUGACGCUGAGGCUCGAAAGUGUGGGUAUCAAACAGG